AGGAUUAUAAUUUAUAUAAAAAAUAUUUGAUUUGCAUUUAAAAAAAGUCCUUUGACUAAUCUUA
rnacentral:tRNA from 1 species